rnacentral:tRNA from 1 species
AAGCUAUUAAUUUCAAUUUGAAUUUA